AAUAUUGUAAGUAUAUAAUAAUUAAGAAAGCAAAAAAUUAUGGCGGUAUUUUAAGCUUUUCAGAGGAAUUUGCUCUUUAAUGGAUAAAACACCUAAAUCUUACUUAAAUUUGUUAAAUCAACUUGUAUACCACUAUUAAAACAAUUAUUAACUCUAAUUGUUAAUAUUUAAAACAUAAAUUAAUUUAAAUUAAGUCAAGGUGCAGUAAAAAUUUAAGAAUGAAGUGAAUUACAUUACUUUUAAGGGAAAUAAAAUUAAAUAAAGUUUAGGAUUUGAAAGUAAAAUUAAAAUAGAAUGUUAAUUUGAAUU
rnacentral:rRNA from 1 species